UACGGGGGGGGCAAGCGUUGUUUGGAAUUACUGGGCGUAAAGGGCUCGUAGGCGGCCAACUAAGUCGGAUGUGAAAUCCCCAGGCUUAACCUGGGAACUGCAUCCGAUACUGGAUGGCUUGAAUCCGGGAGAGGGAUGCGGAAUUCCAGGUGUAGCGGUGAAAUGCGUAGAUAUCUGGAGGAACACCGGUGGCGAAGGCGGCAUCCUGGACCGGCAUUGACGCUGAGGAGCGAAAGCCAGGGGAGCAAACGGG
rnacentral:rRNA from 1 species